rnacentral:misc_RNA from 1 species
CUUGGUAGCGCAGCUAACGCAGGAAGUUGACCGCCUGGGGAGUACGGUCGCAAGAUUAAAACUCAAAGGAAUUGACGGGACUCCGCACAAGCGGUGGAUAUGAUUAAUUCGAUGCAACGCGAAAAACCUUACCUACCCUGACAUGUCUGGAAUCCCGAAGAGAUUUGGGAGUGCUCGCAAGAGAACCGGAACACAGGUGCUGCAUGGCUGUCGUCAGCUCGUGUCGAGAUGCUGGGUUAAGUCCCGCAACGAGCGCAACCCUUGUCAUUAGUUGCUACGAAAGGGCACUGACGAGACUGCCGGUGACAAACCGGAGGAAGGUGGGGAUGACGUCAAGUCCUCAUGGCCCUUAUGGGUAGGGCUUCACACGUCAUACAAUGGUCGGGACAGAGGGCUCGCCAACCCGCGAGGGGGAGCCAAUCCCAGAAACCCGAUCGUAGUCCGGAUCGCAGUCUGCAACUCGACUGCGUGAAGUCGGAAUCGCUAGUAAUCGCGGAUCAGCAUGUCGCGGUGAAUACGUUCCCGGGUCUUGUACACACCGCCCGUCACACCAUGGGAGUGGGUUUUACCAGAAGUAGUUAGCCUAACCGUAAGGAGGGCGAUUACCACGGUAGGAUUCAUGACUGGGGUAGUCGUAACAAGGUAG